GAACGCUAGCGGCAGGCUUAACACAUGCAAGUCGAGGGGCAGCGGGGAGGAAGCUUGCUUUCUCCGCCGGCGACCGGCGCACGGGUGAGUAACACGUAUGCAACCUGCCCCUGUCAGGGGGACAACCCGCCGAAAGGCGGGCUAAACCCGCGUACAUGCCACCGGGGCAUCCCGGAGGCAGGAAAGGCUUCGGCCGGACAGGGAUGGGCAUGCGGCGCAUUAGGCAGUAGGCGGGGUAACGGCCCACCUAACCGACGAUGCGUAGGGGUUCUGAGAGGAAGGUCCCCCACACUGGUACUGAGACACGGACCAGACUCCUACGGGAGGCAGCAGUGAGGAAUAUUGGUCAAUGGUCGGGAGACUGAACCAGCCAAGCCGCGUGAGGGAUGAAGGUACAGAGUAUCGUAAACCUCUUUUGUCAGGGAACAAAGGCGGGGACGUGUCCCCGGAUGAGUGUACCUGAAGAAAAAGCAUCGGCUAACUCCGUGCCAGCAGCCGCGGUAAUACGGAGGAUGCGAGCGUUAUCCGGAUUUAUUGGGUUUAAAGGGUGCGCAGGCGGUCUGUUAAGUCAGCGGUCAAAGCCCGGGGCUCAACCCCGGCCCGCCGUUGAAACUGGCAGUCUCGAGUUGGAGAGAAGUAUGCGGAAUGCGCGGUGUAGCGGUGAAAUGCAUAGAUAUCGCGCAGAACUCCGAUUGCGAAGGCAGCAUGCCGGCUCCACACUGACGCUGAGGCACGAAAGCGUGGGUAUCGAACAGGAUUAGAUACCCUGGUAGUCCACGCAGUAAACGAUGAAUGCUGGCUGUCCGGGGGGGAUUGACCCUGGGUGGCGAAGCGAAAGCGAUAAGCAUUCCACCUGGGGAGUACGCCGGCAACGGUGAAACUCAAAGGAAUUGACGGGGGCCCGCACAAGCGGAGGAACAUGUGGUUUAAUUCGAUGAUACGCGAGGAACCUUACCCGGGCUCAAACGGGGAGUGACUCAGGCAGAGACGCCUGUUUCCCACGGGACACUCCCCGAGGUGCUGCAUGGUUGUCGUCAGCUCGUGCCGUGAGGUGUCGGCUUAAGUGCCAUAACGAGCGCAACCCCCGCGUGCAGUUGCUAACAGAUAACGCUGAGGACUCUGCACGGACUGCCGGCGCAAGCCGCGAGGAAGGCGGGGAUGACGUCAAAUCAGCACGGCCCUUACGUCCGGGGCGACACACGUGUUACAAUGGGUGGUACAGCGGGAAGCCAGGCGGCGACGCCGAGCGGAACCCGAAAUCCACUCUCAGUUCGGAUCGGAGUCUGCAACCCGACUCCGUGAAGCUGGAUUCGCUAGUAAUCGCGCAUCAGCCAUGGCGCGGUGAAUACGUUCCCGGGCCUUGUACACACCGCCCGUCAAGCCAUGGGAGCCGAGGGCGCUUGAAGUGCGUCGCCGCGAGGCGCGCCCUAGAGCGAAAUCGGUGACU
rnacentral:rRNA from 1 species